rnacentral:lncRNA from 1 species
UGAGGAGGAAGAUGAAGUUAUUGAUGACCAGGAAGAGGAUGAAGAAGAAACAGAUGAUAGUGACACUUGGGAACCUCCACGACAUGUGAAACGGAAGCUGUCUAAAUCAGAUGACUGAAAUGUAAGUUAAGAAAAUUUUUAAUCUGCGUAUAUGUUCAUCAACCACAUACAUUUUGAACAGUCACCUUGUUGUAUCAGUCAUCUUCAUUUUUGAUAUUUUCUGAAGUAGUUUUUCUUUUCCCUAAUAAGACUAGGUACCACUAGUAUAGCUAAGAGAUAAAUGAUUAUCAUGUGUAGUUUUAUUAUUAUUAUGUAGAGUUUAAUGUCUUAAUUAUUAUUUUUCAUAUGAAUUGGGUUUUUUUUACUUUGUUUUGAAGGAAAGUUACCCAAUCUCUAUGAAGGGAGACUGGCAGGCAGGUUGAGGGGAUUCACAAACAAAUACUAAAGAUAACUAAAAUGUAUUUUAUUGCAAUGCCCCCUUCACUAAAGCUUCAUUUUUUGCCUAUUUAAGGAAAUAAUUCAAAAAUGAAAACUAAAAAGAAGGGGAAAAGUACACCAAAGGAAAGACUUACCACAGGGUUGAGGAUUGUGCAGUUUUAGGAAACUAGGUGAAAAUGGGUAUCUUUUCAUCUUCAUUGCAUUGCUCCCAAAACUUUACUAGACUUUUAACUAGAGUUUAAAAUGCUUUAUGUAUUUAUGAAAUUACUCAGUAUCUUUUUAGUAAUUUAUAAAAUUACUCAAUAUCUUUUUCUGUUAAAAGUCAAAGGUCUGUUUUAGGCCAUAUAUAAAUUCAUGUUUGCUUAGGCGGCAUCUGUCUUUGAAAACUGUGAUAUAAAUUAUUUCUGUUUUAGAGAUCAAAAGGCAAAUAACAGAUUUGAUAUAAACCCAAUUGCUUAAAAUAUCUUUUCAUUCUUUGGUAUAAAACAAACCUGCUACCAGCACUAACAUUGUAUUUGAUUUAAAGUAUAUCUCUGUAGUCUUAAAAAUGCAAAUAAAUAUGGCUUAAAUUUGAAA